UACGGGGGGAGCAAGCGUUGUUCGGAUUUACUGGGCGUAAAGGGCGCGUAGGCGGCCUCCGCAAGUCAGUUGUGAAAUCUCCGAGCUUAACUCGGAAAGGUCAACUGAUACUGCGGGGCUAGAGUGCGGAAGGGGCAACUGGAAUUCUCGGUGUAGCGGUGAAAUGCGUAGAUAUCAAGAGGAACACCUGCGGCGAAGGCGGGUUGCUGGGCCGACACUGACGCUGAGGCGCGAAAGCUAGGGGAGCAAACGGG
rnacentral:rRNA from 1 species